ensembl:lncRNA
CUUCUAAUGAAUAUUCAUGAUUAAUUUCCUUUAGGAUUGACUGGCUUGAUCUCCUUGCAGUCCAAGGACUCUCAAGAGUCUUCUCCAAACCACAAAAUAUGGUCCACUGGAGAAGGGAAUGGCAAACCACUUCAGCAUUCUUGCCUUGAGAACCCCAUGAACAGUUUGAAAAGGGAGCCUAGAACUCUGGAUUAAGUGCAUGCUUUGAUGACCCUGGAAAGACUAAGACCACUCAUUUUUUCCUAAGGACAAAGUAAUUUACUUACAUUUCAAAUUUAUUUCCUAAGUUGAACUUCUAGAUUUUAAAAACAUCCAUGAUUUGAUAUUCUUGUCCCCAGUGCCUACCAGCAUAGUUAGUUAUUAAAAGAUAAAGUAUGACAACAUACUCAUGGUCAUGGAAUCAAGGUCAAGAUUAAAUGGCCAAUAUAGCCAUGGUCACCAUCCAUCACACACAUGUUCCUACACUAGAGCAAACACUACUAACAGGGGAAAACAGCCAGAUAUUAUUACAUAACACAGUCUAGUUACCAGGAGGUAUUACUGCCACAUUUUCUGUCUAAACAAAGAAUAGGAGAGACCAAAGAAAGUGUUCUGAAACUUCAUUAGGACUGGACAGAAUCAGGACUACCAGUAUCAUUUUGCAAAAUUCACUUGCAAGCAUCGAUGACAGGAAGUCGGGUGGGAUUCUGAAGAAGAGCCAUGGCACUUUCCUGGUUCCAGUGUGUGGACUACACGGCUUCUAGCAUCAUCCUUCUUUAUCUUCUUAGAUACAAUCAUGACAUAAUCAAAGGCCAUAUUCUAGAGAUUGCUUUCAGGUUUUUGGGGGUUUUUUCCCUAAACCUUUUAGUUAAACAGGCAAAACUCAACUUCUGUAAAAUGGAUUGGAGUCAGUUCCAUUUUCUCUUACUUGGUACAAGCACUGAGAAGAGGGCCAGUACAGAUGACAAGCAGCCUUCGAGAGAAAGAGGAGGAGCCGUGGGGCCUGCGCCAGCUCAGAACAGGGAACAUAAGAUGUGAUGGUCAGAGCUAUAGUGGCCGUCUUUGCAACCACGAAGCAGUCAUGAGACUAGAAGCCAUUCACUAAGUCUAAUGAACAGGGAAAUGAAAGAAGCCAAGCCUGGGCCUCUGGAGUUGGACUGGGACUGAUUAUCUUUAGAGGUUUUUAAUGUGAGAAAAAAAUAAUUCCUUCUCUUGUUUCAGUCAGUUUCCUAUCUCUUUUACCAGUGGUAGUGGGUUUGUUGCUAAGUUGUGUCCAACUCUUGUGACCCCACGGACUGUAGCCCACCAGGCUCCUCUGUCCGUGGGAUUCUCCAGGCAAGAAUACUGGAGUGGUUUGCCAUUUCCUUCUCCAGGGGAUCUCCCCAACCCAGGAAUCAAACCAAGGUCUCCUGCAUUGCAGGCAGAUUCUUUACCAACUGAGCUACAAGGGAAGCCCCCUUUUACCAGUAACCAAAUGCAAUUCCUACUUCACAAAACUGAUAUAUAAAUUAAAUGAUACCAUAUAUGUAAAGAAUCCAUAUAUGUGCUAUUGUUUUUUUCUUUAUAUCACGCAUAAAAGACUUAAUUUUGGAAUAAAUAAUGUUGGUACAUGAACUUUAAUUAAAAC